UGUGAUUCCAGGACGACUUCCUGUAAACACACUGAGAGAUUUGUGUGCUUUGAGGUUCAGCUUGAUUCAACAUCAUUUCCCACUGCUUUAGGACUUUGUUGCUGCUGGGAACGGAGCGGUAGGGGAGAGAGACAUAGAGAGAGAGACGGAGAGAGAGACAGACGGAGGAAAAAGGGCUUCCCACUAACAUGUACAUCAAAAGCCUUUUGGUUCUCUCUAUCGCUUUAUUUUUAUUUGGUGUCAGCACUUCACAGUGAGCGCGGUAUGGAAAUGCGUUUGGCUGCCUGGAAAGCUGUCAGGAAACACACACAACUCAGUUGCACGGAGGUAAUUUGACUGGGCUGAUGUCUUUUCUCCUUUCUGGUCGCCUCAUUAUACAGAGAGAAAGCAAAAUGGCAGCGCUCUGUGUUUUAUCUGUCAGCAUCUCUCCGUAAUGCGUUUUCAUACCGUGUGUAUUAGUUGCUAACAUCAAAGAAGUCGUGUAAGGGCCGCGGAGAGCACACGGGCGACGGAGAACCAGACAUCCUGAAAGGACAUUUCUGGAUUUCUGGAUUCCUUUGUGUUCAUGGAGUGAGGAGGGACACGAGCAGCAGGACAGGAGAGGAAUAACUGUGUGGCUGGGUGACAGGCCAUCUAUCCAUGCAGACUCAUGCCGUUUCCUUCAGGAGUGCUGCCCCACUAAUAGGAACAUGCCCUGGAACUCAAGCUGGAAAAUACAUCUCAUUCCCGCCCGCUUGUUUUUUAGGCCAUCGAGGAUCCUCAGUCAUCAAUAUGAAUCUGAGUCGGAGAGGGUUUUUCCCUUCUUUAUCCGUUACUGUGAGCGCCGGCAGCCUGAUGGAUCUCUGCCAUCACUUCUGAAUGAUGUUUGCCUUUCAUUUCUAUUUCUUCAUCUCUCUUUCUCGGCUCUGUCUCCAUCCUUUUUCUGCCACUGCUUGGGCUAUUCUGAGCCGCAAAGAAAGACAUCUUUGAAAUCGUCCAUGGAAAUGUGCAGUUUGGGGGUCACUCAGCUGCAGAUGAAAUGACUGAAUUACACAGGCCCGCUGUCAGCCGUGAAUCAGAUCAGCCAGUCAACUCAUAUACAUGAUUUUACAAGUCACUGAAGAAUAUCACACAUAGAGUACAUUAUCAAAUACUGCUUUUU
ensembl:lncRNA